UUUGAGUGAGGACCAACCUAAAGAGAUCCCAGUCCUCCCGGACAGGUUGGAGGAUGUGAUGAAUGAUCCUGGAACUGAAGGACAAGAGGAGAGUGGUGAAGUAGAGGAACGAGCUAACGCUGAUAUCCAUGUCAGGAGGUCUGAGCGGGAUCGUCAACCACCAAUGAGGCUCGACUACACUGAAUUGGGGAAACCAAUUGUCACCGUGGUGAAGUCUUUCUUCCAAGGGUUGACCGAUGUGUGGAAUGACAUGGUAAAUGAAGGUGAAGCACCUGCUUCUUCCCUUGCCUUUCCCCCCAAGAAACAUUUGUGUGAACCUUGUCAUGCACAGGGACGUGCAAGAGUUCAGGAGGGGAGAGUGUAACCCACAUCAGAUUUGUGGGUUGUGCUGCUGCAUAAGGUUGGAGGUGUAAUUUUCCCUCCCCGCCGCUAGGAGGCGAGUAUGCCUUGAGAUGACUUUCUGUUAGUCAACAUUUCCUGUUGUGGAAGCCAUUACUCACGAGGCAACCGCUACUCACGAGGCAACCGCCAAAUUAGCUGAAAGAUCCUGGAUCUGAGAUCUGUGAAAUACGGCCGUGGGAAGCUGCGUCAGCUGGACGAGCUAUCUCACCACGAGCUCCGAUUGGUUUUUGACCAGGACUGGAUCAUUUGAGAUCUGAACCCUGUGGGUUCAGUGGCGAGCCAAUCCCGAGAGAGUGACUGUCGACGGACCCGAGUGCGGUGUGGCCAGCCGUGGGAUCCAUCUUCAGCGAACCUCAGGACUAUUACUACCUUCCUUGAUACAGAUAAGACUAACACUUUAAAAAUCUACCCGGGUAGUGUUCGAACCAAUGGACAGAAACACACACACAAGGAACUCUAAUUUCUCUUUCUAAAGAGAAGUGGACUGAGCAACGGGAGCGGAAGCUCUUUAAUUGAAACUCUUUGGAGAAUUUCCUUAAAGAGGAUGUUGUUUUGAUUUUAUUUUUGGGCCCUUUAAUGUGCGUUUGUGCACUGUAGGAAGCCGGCUUUAGACAGGCAGGGUUUGUAAACUUUACAACUUUCAAUACAGUUUCUACUCAAAUCACA